GGUCAAUCCUUGUCUAGUCCAAAGGCCGUAAACUCUGAAAGUGCCAAACAGACCCCUGGGCACCGCGCCUUGUUUGGCCUUCCGGCGGUUCCAGUGGUGACCGGUGGGCUCCUGGUGAGGGCUGCCAGGGGCCCACCUCCUGGCAGGAGAAGAGGGACAGUGAGUGAAGAGAAGAGGAAAGUGCCAAGAGGGCCUGCCCUAUGCCUGCCUUCUUCCUCGCAGGCCUACAUUCCGAAGGCCUCACGCUAAUUAUGGUCGGAGUGCAGGCAGGGAUUCCUGAAUGUGCUGGAAAACUGCCAGGAAUCUCUACACCCGACAUGGGGCUCGAACUCAUGACCCCGAGAUCAAAAGUUGCAUGCUCUUCUGACUGAGCCAGCCGGGUGCCCCUGAACUAGUAAGUAUAAUUAAUCAUUUAUAAGAACAUACCUUCCUGGCUAAAUCCUAGGCACUUUACACAUGUUAUUUAAUAAUAAUAACUGCUAAUAUAUAUUAAGCAUUUUACUCUGUGCGAGAUACUUACUUGCAAGAGGUGUACCAACAUCUCAUUUAAUUUUUAAAAGACCUUAUGAGGAAAUGUUUAUAUAAGGCACAUAUAAGUUAGUUACUUAUAUGAAGUCACACAGUGGGAAAACGAUCAGGGAAAAAUGAGAACCCGGGCAGUGUGACUCCAAAAGCUUGCAUUUAUGUACUCCUUCACAGUCACACUCAAAAAUAUACACGGCCGGUUCCACUGUACUUACUUCAGAGAUGAGCAUUCUAACACUCAUUUUUUUUAUUUUUUAGUUUUUAUUUUAUUAUGUUACGUUAGUCACCAUACCAUACAUCAUU
rnacentral:tRNA from 1 species